AUUUUCAAGUAGGAUUGCUUGGAAACUGGCAAGCUUGAGUGCAGGAGAGUCAUCGGAAUUCCCAGUGUAGCGGUGAAAUGCGUAGAGAUCGGGAGGAACACCAGUGGCGAAGGCGGGUGACUGGACUGCAACUGACGCUGAGGCGCGAAAGUGUGGGGAGCAAACAGGAUUAGAUACCCUGGUAGUCCACACUGUAAACGAUGAAUGCUAGGUGUAGGGGGUAUCGACCCCUUCUGUGCCGCAGUAAACACAAUAAGCAUUCCGCCUGGGGAGUACGGUCGCAAGAUUAAAACUCAAAGGAAUUGACGGGGGCCCGCACAAGCAGCGGAGCAUGUGGUUUAAUUCGAAGCAACGCGAAGAACCUUACCAGGUCUUGACAUCCAUUAAAAGCUGCAGAGAUGCAGUGUGAGCAUGCUCGUAAUGAGACAGGUGGUGCAUGGUUGUCGUCAGCUCGUGUCGUGAGAUGUUGGGUUAAGUCCCGCAACGAGCGCAACCCUUGCCAAUCGUUACUAACAGGUAAUGCUGAGGACUCAAUUGGGACUGCCGUGGACAACACGGAGGAAGGUGGGGACGACGUCAAAUCAUCAUGCCCCUUAUGACCUGGGCUACACACGUGCUACAAUGGUCGCAACAAAGAGGAGCGAAGCCGCAAGGUGGAGCAGAUCUCAAAAAAGCGAUCUCAGUUCGGAUUGUGGGCUGCAACCCGCCCACAUGAAGUCGGAGUUGCUAGUAAUCGCGAAUCAGCAUGUCGCGGUGAAUACGUUCCCGGGCCUUGUACACACCGCCCGU
rnacentral:rRNA from 1 species